rnacentral:miRNA from 1 species
AUUUAGCGAGCUGAGUGGGGAGGAGAGAGGGACAGAGAGCCUGCUUGCUUUAAAGGAGCCAACCAGACAGGAGCCGCUUACCUCUCCUCUCCCGCUUUGCUCCUUUAAAGCAAGCAGGCUCUCUGUCCCUCUCUCCUCCCCACUCAGCGGCUCUUCUC